CCCACACUGGCACUGUGAUACGGGCCAGACUCCUACGGGAGGCAGCAGUGAGGAAUAUUGCCCAAUGGGCGAAAGCCUGGGGCAGCAACGCCGCGUGGGUGAUGAAGGUCUUCGGAUCGUAAAGCCCUGUCGGGGGGGAAGAACCCUUGUCUGGUUAAUAUCCAGGCAGGCUGACGGUACCCCCUAUAGGAAGCACCGGCCAACUACGUGCCAGCAGCCGCGGUAAUACGUAGGGUGCUAGCGUUAUCCGGAAUCACUGGGCGUAAAGAGCUCGUAGGCGGUUAAGUAAGUCGCAUGUUAAAGACCCGGGCUUAACCCGGGGAAUGCGUGCGAUACUGCUUGACUAGAGGACGGGAGAGGAAAGCGGAAUUCCUGGUGUAGCGGUGAAAUGCAUAGAUAUCAGGAAGAACACCAGUGGCGAAGGCGGCUUUCUGGACCGUUUCUGACGCUGAGGAGCGAAAGCUAGGGGAGAGAACGGGAUUAGAUACCCCGGUAUUCCUAGCCGUAAACGAUGGGCACUAGGUGUGGGAGGUAUCGACCCCUCCCGUGCCGCAGCUAACGCAUUAAGUGCCCCGCCUGGGGAGUACGGUCGCAAGAUUAAAACUCAAAGGAAUUGACGGGGGCCCGCACAAGCGGUGGAGCAUGUGGUUUAAUUCGACGCAACGCGAAGAACCUUACCUGGGUUUGACAUCUGGGGAAUCCCCUAGAAACAGGGGAGUGCCCUUCGGGGAACCCCAAGACAGGUGCUGCAUGGCUGUCGUCAGCUCGUGCCGUGAGGUGUUGGAUUAAGUUCCGCAACGAGCGCAACCCUUAUCCUUAUUUGCCAUCAUUCAGUUGGGGACUAUAAGGAGACUGCCAGUUUAUGACUGGAGGAAGGUGGGGAUGACGUCAAGUCAGCAUGGCCUUUAUGCCCAGGGCUACACACGUGCUACAAUGGCCGGUACAACGGGUUGCAACACUGCGAGGUGAAGCGAAUCCCUUAAAGCCGGCCCCAGUUUGGAUUGGAGUCUGCAAUUCGACUCCAUGAAGUUGGAAUCGCUAGUAACCGUGGAACAGCACGCCGCGGUGAAUACGUUCUCGGGCCUUGUACACACCGCCCGUCACACCACCCGAGUCUGGUGCACCCGAAGUCGCUGACCCAACCUUAUGGGAAGGAAGUGCCUAAGGUGUGCCCGGUGAGGAGGGUGAAGUCGUAACAAGGUA
rnacentral:rRNA from 1 species